rnacentral:rRNA from 1 species
GACGAACGCUGGCGGCGCGCCUAACACAUGCAAAUCGAACGGAGUUAUUUGAAAGCUUGCUUUUGGAUAACUGAGUGGCGGACGGGUGAGUAACGCGUGGGUAACCUGCCUCAUACAGGGGGAUAACAGUUAGAAAUGACUGCUAAUACCGCAUAAGCGCACAGCAUCACAUGAUGCAGUGUGAAAAGCCGAGACGGUAUGAGAUGGACCCGCGUCUGAUUAGCUAGUUGGUGGGGUAACGGCCCACCAAGGCGACGAUCAGUAGCCGACCUGAGAGGGUGACCGGCCACAUUGGGACUGAGACACGGCCCAA